UUCAAAAUUGAUUCUGAACUAAAAAAAUAUUCAUAAUUUUAAUUUUAAAGACAGGUUCAUAAUUACUAUUAUAAUGUGUGUUUUAGGUAAUGACACUAGGCAAGAAUCGAACCUGUUAUGCUUAAAAAAAUUAACUGGCCUAAUAUGUAAAAAAAUACCUCCAUAUCUCGAACAUUCCAGCUGAUCUCCUACUAGGAAACUAUAAAAAUGUAGAAGAGGUACAAUAACAAACAACACGCGAACUUGACGGGAUGUUGUAAUAUAUUAUGUAUCAAAUAACAGGACGAGAAGGUAGAAGCCAUGACAGACGGUUGACAGUUGAUGGAAUCAGUAUAUAAUAGUUGCAGGAUCGAUCUGAGUAAGAAUGCAAAAGUAACCAUAGUACCUGCAAGCUUACACUGUUCAUUUAAAGGAAAUUAUAAGCACAGCGGGACUCGGGAGCGUUCAAUGCCAUUGCCUAUAG